AUCGAAUCUCAGCUUGGUAGGAAUACCCCCUGAAUUUAAGCAUAUAAUUAAGGGGAGGAAAAGAAACUAACAAGGAUUCCCUCAGUAAGGGCGACUGAAGCGGGAAGAGCUCACCGUGUGAAUCGGCAUUUAUGUCGAGUUGUGGUCUGUAGAAGCAUUGUCGGUCGACGUUCCGGGCCAAGUCUCUUGGAAAAGAGCAGCUGAGAGGGUGACACUCCCGUUCUUGCCUGGAAUGUGCGAUCAUAGCACAUGCCUUCAACGAGUCGAGUUGCUUGGGAUUGCAGCUCAAAUGCGUGGUAUACUCCAUGUAAAGCUAAAUAUUGGUAGGAAACCGAUAGCGUACAAGUACUGUGAAGGAAAGAUGCAAAGAACUUUGAAAAGAGAGUUAAAGAGUACCUGAAAUUGCUGAAAGGGAAGCGAAUGGAAACAGUGUUGUUUCCGUACCAUUCUUCCUCUGCGACUUGUCGUAGGGGCGCUGUGGUGCGGAGUCGGUCAGCAUGGGUUUGGAUCGGGGCAUACAGCUGUUCAGGAGGCAUGCGUCUUUUCGCAGAUUACUGUUCAGUGUUGCCCUGGUCUGGAUCGAGGCUAGUAUUUCGUGAUGCUGACGAAAUGUUUCUAUUCACCCCGUCUUGAAACACGGACCAAGGAGUCUAA
rnacentral:rRNA from 1 species